UACAGGGGGUGCAAGCGUUACUCGGAAUUAUUGGGCGUAAAGAGCGCGUAGGCGGCUCGGUAAGUUUGGUGUGAAAUCCCUGGACUCAAUUCAGGAAGUGCAUUGAAUACUGCCGGGCUAGAGUGUUGGAGAGGACAGCGGAAUUCCAGGUGUAGAGGUGAAAUUCGUAGAUAUCUGGAGGAACAACAGUAGCGAAGGCGGCUGUCUGGACAAUUACUGACGCUGAGGCGCGAAAGCGUGGGGAGCAAACAGG
rnacentral:rRNA from 1 species